GUCCACGCUGUAAACGAUGUCGACUGGCUGUUGGUCGUAUGAAUACGAUUGGUGGCGUAGCUAACGCGCUAAGUUGACCGCCGUGGGGAGUACGGUCGCAAGAAUUAAAACUCAAAGGAAUUGACGGGGGCCCCGCACAAGCGGUGGAGCAUGUGGUUUAAUUCGAUGCAACGCGAAGAACCUUACCUACCCUUGACAUACAGUGAACCCUGAAGAGAUUUGGGGGUGCCGAGAGGAGCACUGAUACAGGUGCUGCAUGGCUGUCGU
rnacentral:rRNA from 1 species